rnacentral:rRNA from 1 species
UACGUAGGGUGCAAGCGUUGUCCGGAAUUAUUGGGCGUAAAGAGCUCGUAGGCGGUCUGUCGCGUCGGAUGUGAAAACCCAGGGCUCAACCCUGGGCCUGCAUUCGAUACGGGCAGACUAGAGUUCGGUAGGGGAGACUGGAAUUCCUGGUGUAGCGGUGGAAUGCGCAGAUAUCAGGAGGAACACCGGUGGCGAAGGCGGGUCUCUGGGCCGUAACUGACGCUGAGGAGCGAAAGCAUGGGGAGCGAACAGG